ensembl:piRNA 21ur-1925 ncRNA
UUGUUUGUACAAGUUUUUGAC